UCUAGGCAAGAAUACUGGAGUGAGUUGCUAUUCUCUUCUCCAGGGGAUCUUCCUGACCCAGGGAUCUAAACUCCGGAGUAUCCUGCAUUGAAGGCGGAUUCUUUACCAUCUGAGCCACUGGGGAGGCCCAAGACGACGCUGGGGAUUGGCAGAGGCUGCUUCGCUGUUAGAGAAUUAUUUCAUGCGUCCUUUUAGAAAUGAAAUGCACCGCUGGGUCCUCUCGGCACAAAAGGUUCAGGGAUGCGGCGACCUUGAUGAAUCCCAGUCAAGGCUCUGAAUAAUUUAGGAGUAAUAAACCCGACCAGAGAAUGCACUCCCAGGCAGGCUGCUGUUUUCCUGGAUGUCUCUAAAUGGGCGAUCCUGGGUUUUUCCUGUCUCUGAGGCUUCUCUUGUCCAUGAGAACCAGAAACAGGGCUCUCUAUAUGUCAGCCAAGAGGCUGUGUUAAGAGUUACCAUGUUUAUUUGUGUAAAUUUCUGAUUCCACUGAAAAAGAGGCUUUUUUAUUGUUGCCAGAGCCUUAAUACAUGAGAAAACAAGGGUACCACACCGGGUACCAUGAAAACGUGGUGGCUGGUAUUCCUGCAUGUCUUAAAUGGAAGAAAAUCUGACAGAUGUGAAGGUGGGGUGAGCUGGUGUUUGCAGAGUUGAUGGUGGCUAAGAAGAGGCCCCUGCACACAUGUCUGGGAUGGGUCUAUGUUCCAGACGUGUUUUUAAGGCAGGGUAAUAGCAAAGGUGGAAACUUAAAGACUUGAUCUUGGAGUAGUGUGCUAGAACGUGAACUGCAGUGACCUGGGCCUGGGUAGAGGGAGCUGGCCCCAUUGGAGGACCCCGGACCCAUGUCAGGGAAUGGAGGGCUUGAGGUCAUGCCCUUGAAUAGUAGAAGGUCUAGAGCAAAGUGGUGUCCUGGGAGCCAAAGUUCCAAGCUAAAGACUCUGUGAGUGUUGAAUCUUAGGCAGAAGCAAACCCCAGAUUCUGGAGGGAAGAGUUCAGCAAAGAAGGAAGGAAUGGGAUAGGGGUGAACCCAGGUAGCAGCAUAUUGGAGGCACCCUGAUAAAGCCAGAGGCGUGAACCAGUAGGAAUAUGAUGGAGAUAUCCCUCCUUGUUUGUGGCCCAUGAAUCUUGGGACACACCCUCGGUGCUUCACAGAGUUUCUCAUUUACUCCCCACUCCAACAGCCCUGUCUGCAAUCAGAGCUUGGGGAGUUGGACAGCCUCGACGAGGCCUCACAGCCAGACCAAGGUUGGAACACAUGCCCCACCCCACCCCAGGGCCUGUGUUCACCUGCAGCACUGGUUCUGCUCGAGGUCGAGCGGCUGGGGGUUGGUGGGUCUGCUGGAAGCUAGAGGCCCCACUCCCAGCUUUGGUCUUGCUCUGCCUCUAAGGCUGGGAUGGAGGCUGGAAGACAUGGGUUCUAACCUGCUCCUUCCCAGUUCAGUGUCCCAGUUAAAGGCCUUCUUGUCUGAUUCCUCCCCCUUUUCAGUUACUCUUUCCUCCCCUUUCUAUCUGGGAAGUGUGUCCUGGCCUCAGCUCCCCUCUCUGCAGUGUCCUGUCCCUGCCAGCUCUCAUCAGGAUGGCCUGGCUCACAUGAGUCCUCUAUGCUUGUCCUCCUCGUCUUCCGUCCCCCCUACUUCCCCCCUUACUUUAAGUUAUUCUUUCCAUUGGCUUCAGAUAGUCUCUAAAGCUCUGAUGGAAGCUUGAGCGGUGACGUCCCCCUGCACUAACUCCACAGUGUGGCCCCGACUUUCUUCCUUCUCUGGUUCCAGCUCUCGUGGUGGAGGCUGCUUGGAGCCCCAUCUGGAGGAGUUCCAUCCUGAGUCAGAGUUCCCUGAGAUUCAGAAUGUGAUUGAUUAGUGGUGCCUGCCAGGGGCCUGGACAUGGCAAGCAGGGGUCUCUCAGGACAUCGAGGGCAGGAAGCCUAGCAAGCUACCUAAUUCUUCCUCAUCUUCCACUGUCUUCCUGCCAACCCCCAGUGCCAAGCAUACUGCAUGCCAGAGGUGAAAGAAGAUGAAUAGCUUCAAAGAGAGGUGUCCCCCUCCCUUCCUGCCCCAGGGAAACAUGACCAGAUGAUGAAGAAAAAUGACUCAGGACCUGCCUACACCUCCCGUGAAAUGUUCCACUUCUUGAGCAUUUUAUUCAACCAGCAUCAGCCUGGUGCAGUGCAUUAACACUGAGUGUUUCUUGUGAUGUUUUGUGACUGAUAAUAUUUUCCUUCCAAGUUCUCU
ensembl:lncRNA